GGGCUGGGCUGGGCUGGGAU
rnacentral:miRNA from 1 species